rnacentral:rRNA from 1 species
UACGGAGGGUGCAAGCGUUGCUCGGAAUUAUUGGGCGUAAAGGGUAGGUAGGUGGUCUUAUUUGUGUGGGGUGAAAGCCUUGGGCUUAACUCAAGAAGUGCCCCGCAAACGGUAAGACCAGAGUCUUGGAGAGGCUAGCGGAAUUCCCGGUGUAGCGGUGAAAUGCGUAGAGAUCGGGAGGAACACCAGAGGCGAAGGCGGCUAGCUGGACAAGCACUGACACUCAACUACGAAAGCGUGGGGAGCAAACAGG